rnacentral:tRNA from 1 species
ACAAAUUAGCUAACCAUAGCAGCAUAUAUAUGCUAUUAAAUAAGCUAGAGGGGGGGAAGCUAAAGCUCGCUCUUC